rnacentral:rRNA from 1 species
GGCAGCAGUGGGGAAUAUUGGACAAUGGGGGAAACCCUGAUCCAGCGAUGCCGCGUGGGUGAAGAAGGCCUGCGGGUUGUAAAGCCCUUUCAGUGGGGAAGAAAAACGGGGUGUGAACAGCGCUUCGUUUUGACGUUACCCACAGAAGAAGCACCGGCUAACUCCGUGCCAGCAGCCGCGGUAAUACGGAGGGUGCGAGCGUUAAUCGGAAUUACUGGGCGUAAAGGGCGCGUAGGCGGUUGGGUAAGUCGGGUGUGAAAGCCCUGGGCUUAACCUGGGAAUGGCAUUCGAGACUACCUAUCUAGAGUCUGGUAGAGGGAAGUGGAAUUUCCGGUGUAGCGGUGAAAUGUGUAGAUAUCGGAAGGAACACCAGUGGCGAAGGCGACUUCCUGGACCAAGACUGACGCUGAGGCGCGAAAGCGUGGGGAUCAAACAGGAUUAGAUACCCUGGUAGUCCACGCCCUAAACGAGGAGAACUGGCCGUUGGGGGAGUUAAAUCC